UACGAGUGCUCCAAGCGUUAUCCGGAAUCAUUGGGCGUAAAGGGUGUGUAGGCUGUUAUGUUAGUCUUUUGUUAAAUUCUUCGGCUUAACCGGGGGCAUGCAAAGGAAACGGCAUAACUAGAGGAUGCGAGAGGUGAAUGGAACUCAUGGAGUAGGGGUGAAAUCCGUUGAUAUCAUGGGGAACACCAAAAGCGAAGGCAAUUCACUGGCGCACUCCUGACGCUGAGACACGAAAGCGUAGGUAGCGAAUGGG
rnacentral:rRNA from 1 species